GGGUUGUGAGGUUAAGCGACUAAGCGUACACGGUGGAUGCCCUGGCAGUCAGAGGCGAUGAAGGACGUGCUAAUCUGCGAAAAGCGUCGGUAAGGUGAUAUGAACCGUUAUAACCGGCGAUGUCCGAAUGGGGAAACCCAGUGCAAUUCGUUGCACUAUCGUUAACUGAAUACAUAGGUUAACGAGGCGAACCGGGGGAACUGAAACAUCUAAGUACCCCGAGGAAAAGAAAUCAACCGAGAUUCCCCCAGUAGCGGCGAGCGAACGGGGAGCAGCCCAGAGUCUGAAUCAGCUUGUGUGUUAGUGGAACGGUCUGGAAAGUCCGACGGUACAGGGUGAUAGUCCCGUACACCAAAAUGCACAGGUUGUGAACUCGAAGAGUAGGGCGGGACACGUGGUAUCCUGUCUGAAUAUGGGGGGACCAUCCUCCAAGGCUAAAUACUCCUGACUGACCGAUAGUGAACCAGUACCGUGAGGGAAAGGCGAAAAGAACCCCGGCGAGGGGAGUGAAAAAGAACCUGAAACCGUGUACGUACAAGCAGUGGGAGCACCUUCGGGUGUGACUGCGUACCUUUUGUAUAAUGGGUCAGCGACUUAUAUUCUGUAGCAAGGUUAACCGUAUAGGGGAGCCGCAGGGAAACCGAGUCUUAACUGGGCGUUAAGUUGCAGGGUAUAGACCCGAAACCCGGUGAUCUAGCCAUGGGCAGGUUGAAGGUUGGGUAACACUAACUGGAGGACCGAACCGACUAAUGUUGAAAAAUUAGCGGAUGACUUGUGGCUGGGGGUGAAAGGCCAAUCAAACCGGGAGAUAGCUGGUUCUCCCCGAAAGCUAUUUAGGUAGCGCCUCGUGAACUCAUCUUCGGGGGUAGAGCACUGUUUCGGCUAGGGGGUCAUCCCGACUUACCAACCCGAUGCAAACUACGAAUACCGAAGAAUGUUAUCACGGGAGACACACGGCGGGUGCUAACGUCCGUCGUGAAGAGGGAAACAACCCAGACCGCCAGCUAAGGUCCCAAAGUCAUGGUUAAGUGGGAAACGAUGUGGGAAGGCACAGACAGCCAGGAUGUUGGCUUAGAAGCAGCCAUCAUUUAAAGAAAGCGUAAUAGCUCACUGGUCGAGUCGGCCUGCGCGGAAGAUGUAACGGGGCUAAACCAUGCACCGAAGCUGCGGCAGCGACACUAUGUGUUGUUGGGUAGGGGAGCGUUCUGUAAGCCUGCGAAGGUGUGCUGUGAGGCAUGCUGGAGGUAUCAGAAGUGCGAAUGCUGACAUAAGUAACGAUAAAGCGGGUGAAAAGCCCGCUCGCCGGAAGACCAAGGGUUCCUGUCCAACGUUAAUCGGGGCAGGGUGAGUCGACCCCUAAGGCGAGGCCGAAAGGCGUAGUCGAUGGGAAACAGGUUAAUAUUCCUGUACUUGGUGUUACUGCGAAGGGGGGACGGAGAAGGCUAUGUUAGCCGGGCGACGGUUGUCCCGGUUUAAGCAUGUAGGCUGGUUGUCCAGGCAAAUCCGGAUAAUCAAGGCUGAGGUGUGAUGACGAGGCACUACGGUGCUGAAGUAACAAAUGCCCUGCUUCCAGGAAAAGCCUCUAAGCAUCAGGUAACAUCAAAUCGUACCCCAAACCGACACAGGUGGUCAGGUAGAGAAUACCAAGGCGCUUGAGAGAACUCGGGUGAAGGAACUAGGCAAAAUGGUGCCGUAACUUCGGGAGAAGGCACGCUGGUGUGUAGGUGAAGCCCCUGCGGGUGGAGCUGAGACCAGUCGAAGAUACCAGCUGGCUGCAACUGUUUAUUAAAAACACAGCACUGUGCAAACACGAAAGUGGACGUAUACGGUGUGACGCCUGCCCGGUGCCGGAAGGUUAAUUGAUGGGGUUAUCCGUAAGGAGAAGCUCUUGAUCGAAGCCCCGGUAAACGGCGGCCGUAACUAUAACGGUCCUAAGGUAGCGAAAUUCCUUGUCGGGUAAGUUCCGACCUGCACGAAUGGCGUAAUGAUGGCCAGGCUGUCUCCACCCGAGACUCAGUGAAAUUGAACUCGCUGUGAAGAUGCAGUGUACCCGCGGCAAGACGGAAAGACCCCGUGAACCUUUACUAUAGCUUGACACUGAACAUUGAGCCUUGAUGUGUAGGAUAGGUGGGAGGCUUUGAAGCGUGGACGCCAGUCUGCGUGGAGCCAACCUUGAAAUACCACCCUUUAAUGUUUGAUGUUCUAACGUUGGCCCCUUACCGGGGUUGCGGACAGUGUCUGGUGGGUAGUUUGACUGGGGCGGUCUCCUCCCAAAGCGUAACGGAGGAGCACGAAGGUUAGCUAAUCCUGGUCGGACAUCAGGAGGUUAGUGCAAUGGCAUAAGCUAGCUUGACUGCGAGCGUGACGGCGCGAGCAGGUGCGAAAGCAGGUCAUAGUGAUCCGGUGGUUCUGAAUGGAAGGGCCAUCGCUCAACGGAUAAAAGGUACUCCGGGGAUAACAGGCUGAUACCGCCCAAGAGUUCAUAUCGACGGCGGUGUUUGGCACCUCGAUGUCGGCUCAUCACAUCCUGGGGCUGAAGUAGGUCCCAAGGGUAUGGCUGUUCGCCAUUUAAAGUGGUACGCGAGCUGGGUUUAGAACGUCGUGAGACAGUUCGGUCCCUAUCUGCCGUGGGCGCUGGAGAAUUGAGGGGGGCUGCUCCUAGUACGAGAGGACCGGAGUGGACGCAUCACUGGUGUUCGGGUUGUCAUGCCAAUGGCACUGCCCGGUAGCUAAAUGCGGAAGAGAUAAGUGCUGAAAGCAUCUAAGCACGAAACUUGCCCCGAGAUGAGUUCUCCCUGAGACUUUAAGUCUCCUGAAGGAACGUUAAAGACGAUGACGUUGAUAGGCCGGGUGUGUAAGCGCAGCGAUGCGUUGAGCUAACCGGUACUAAUGAACCGUGAGGCUUAACCUUACAACGCCGAAG
rnacentral:rRNA from 1 species